CAAAUUACACUACAGAGCCAUAGUAAUAAUAACAGAAUUGCAUUGUCAUGGAAACAGCAUCAUAGAGCCAUGGAAUAGAAUAGAGGAUCCAACUAUGAGGCCAGACAACUACAGCCCCCAAAUUUUUACAGGGAAGAUGAAUAUACACUGAGUGAAAGGCAAUGUCUUCAACAAAUGAUAUUUAGAAAAUUGAAUAUCUACAUAAAGAAGAACAAGACUAAGUUCUUACCUCUCACCCUUCACAAAAAUCAACUCUAAAUGGAUCGGAGGCUUCAACAUAAGCAAAGGAAACAGUCAAUCUGGCGAAGAAACAGCACCCAGAAUGGGAGAAUAUCCUUGCCAGAUAUGCAUCUCACAGAAGAUUAGCAUCUGAAGUAUAUAAGAAACUAAACAUCAAAGAAACAACCCUAAACAAGGAAAAUGAGCCAGUAUUACAAAAAGUUCUGACUUUCAAAAAUGCUCAAAGUGAGAGUGCACCACCAAUUUCAUUUUUUAAAAAGAAGAUACAUAGAUGCUUGAAGAAAGAAAGAAAAAAGGUAUUAUUAGAAAAAAGUCUUCAGGCUUCACCAGACUGCCAGAGUGAUCCUAGCACAAAGAUGGUAGAACUCUGGGUCAGGAAUCACAACAGAUUUACUGCCCAAAGGAAGAGUGCUCCUGUCUAUCAGAAAGUCAGAAGAUACUGAAUCAGAGGAAUACAUGGCAUGGGAUGGAAAAUAUAAAUGAAAUACGUUUGCUUACUUCAUCUUGUUUUAAAGGGCAUUCUAAGAUUCGAACAACAACAGCGUUCCUGCGCUCACAGAGCCAUCUACAAACCAGGAUAACUGAGUUUGUGAGACUCAGCACUGAAGCCAAAUUGAAUUGAUAAAUUCCUACCUGCAAAGACAAACUAAGAACUGCAGGCCCCUCUGUGCUCCACCACGACUGCCAUGCUUGACACAAUACCUGGGGCGGCGAAAG